UGUAGCUCAGUGAUAGAGCACUUGCCUAGCAUACAUGAGGCCCUAGGUUCAAUUCCCAGCA
rnacentral:tRNA from 1 species